GGUAGAUGUCGAUGCCAGGGAUAUCCCCGUCUCCCCUGAAGUGAGACAAGAGGUAACAAAAGAUCUGCAGGGAAACAAUCAAAGCUGUGUGUCGAGAACGAGAGGAAGAAAUUCGGUAUCUGAAACGGCGAUGGUAGUUCCACUAAGACAUCCUGUCAAAUGGAUUAACUGAAGCAAUAAACAUAUCUGCA